AGCCGCGGUAAUUCCAGCUCCAAUAGCGUAUAUUUAAGUUGUUGCAGUUAAAAAGCUCGUAGUUGAAUUUCGGGAUCAAUAUGCCGGUCAUGCCUUGGUAUGCACUGGUAUCUUUGAUUUCUCCCUUCUGACGAACUUUGAUGUCAUUAAUUUGGUGUCAUAGGGAAUCAGGACUGUUACUUUGAAAAUAUUAGAGUGUUUAAAGCAAGCUCACGCUUGAAUACAUUAGCAUGGAAUAAUGAAAUAGGACGUUUGAUUCUAUUUUGUUGGUUUCUAGGAUCGACGUAAUGAUUAAUAGGGAUAGUUGGGGGCAUUAGUAUUCAAUUGUCAGAGGUGAAAUUCUUGGAUUUAUUGAAGACUAACUACUGCGAAAGCAUUUGCCAAGGAUGUUUUCAUUAAUCAAGAACGAAAGUUAGGGGAUCGAAGACGAUCAGAUACCGUCGUAGUCUUAACCAUAAAUUAUGCCGACUAGGGAUCGGAUGAUGUUAAUUUUUUAAUGACUCAUUCGGCGCCUUACG
rnacentral:rRNA from 1 species